UACUCGAGUGGCGAACGGGUGAGUAACACGUGGGUGAUCUGCCUUGCACUCUGGGAUAAGCUUGGGAAACUGGGUCUAAUACCGGAUAGGAACCGUCUUUAGUGUGGUGGUUGGAAAGUUUUUUCGGUGCAAGAUGAGCUCGCGGCCUAUCAGCUUGUUGGUGGGGUAAUGGCCUACAAAGGCGUCGACGGGUAGCCGGCCUGAGAGGGUGUACGGCCACAUUGGGACUGAGAUACGGCCCAG
rnacentral:rRNA from 1 species